GCCCUUAGCAUUCGCCUAUAUUGCCUAUGCCGAGGGCCGCCCUGGGCACAAGGCAGAAGGCAGAAGAAGAAUCUUAGUUGUAGAAACAGUAGACUCGUCGAAAAAUGUCCACGAGAAACUUCAUCUUGCAUUGCAAAAGGACAAUAAAUGACUGCACAAGACUUCUCCAAACAGAUGAUGGUCAUGCUGUGUUACAAUCCACAAUAGUGAGGACCUUCGGGAAUAUAUAGAUGAAGUCCGGAGAUCUUGGCCUACCACAACCGCACAACAAGGUCAUUCUGGCUACCACGCCCCACUCAUUCUGUUGGGUGGCCGAGGUCCCCCACAAUACAGCAUUUCGAGGGAGCAACUCUCUUUUUUGAGGAGCUGUGGUUUUACAGCUACAAAGAUGGCGCAGAUAUUAAAAGUAUCUCUGCGCACAGUGAGACGGCGUUUGAGGCAGUUCCACAGGCCUGCACCUUGUCGUGACCACUGUGUCAAGUGUCCCAUUUGGGUUGCCGUAUGUAGCAGACCAUCUCGCACAUGCGCAGUACAGAUCGGGCAGGGGGUGCAGAUCAUGUGGGCAGAUCGGUAGUGACAGAGGUAAUCGUCGUAACCAGCAGUCUUCAUCCGCCUCUAUCCAGUCUUUGACACUUGGAAAACGAGCACAUGUGAUACUGGUUAGGAUAAACUAAUGUUAAUAUAUAUAUAUAUAUAUAUUAAUAUAAUUUCACAUACCGAAACGUUAACGCUUGUCUGAGUAUAUCUUCCGUUGACUCUGGCUGUGGGUCUUACCGGCUGUUGAUAGCCCUUAUAAGCUAACGCUAGCAUGCUUUAUUCAGACAUUAGCCUUUAGCCCGCUUGGAUUUAUGGGUGGCUAACGUUACUACAGUCCGGUAGCUCAUUUAAGAAAAUGUAACGUUAUUUAUGGGAAACGUUAGCCUACGUGUGUCUGGCCGUGACUGACUGAGUAGGCCGUAAAAGCUUGUGCUAAUGUUUAGCAUGCGCUAACGUUUAUCUUGUGCUAAUGUUU